rnacentral:miRNA from 1 species
GACCAAUUAAGUUAGUUCUGGGUAUAAGCUUUUGUGUGCAUGCACACUUCUUCAGAUACACUGAAACAGAAGUCACCAGACCAGUGACUUCUGUUUCAGUGUAUCUGAAGGAGUGUGCAUGCACAUGAAAGCUUAUACCCAGAGCAAACUUAGUUAG